UUGGAGAGGGCAGAGCAGGGAGGCGCAGUCAGGAGUGAGCGUGACAUGGUGAGGAAGGAUUGAGUGGAGGGAGGUUAAAGCAGGCAGGCGGGCGAAGAGGAAGCAGGAAUGAUAAUCUACGAGUGGAAACGCAAGCCGGCCAUGUGGCAUUAGUGCCCCACUGACUGACUGAAGCAAGGGUUGAAAUACUGCUGAGUGGAUGGGAGGCAGGUGUGUAGGCUGAUGAUCCAUCAGGAGGCCAAGAGGAGGGAGCGGCCGACUUGUCCAAGAUGCACCGAAAAUGUCAGCUGGGAAAGGCUGCAGCCCCCUGUGACCAUCUACGGGAUAAAAUAGGGAAAGACAAUAGGUUUCCUGAACAAACGUGUGUACUCCUUUCCUGGCUGGAAUACCAUUGACUUCUACUCCUCAACUGCCACAUCUGUCAACUGAUGAGCAUGAAGAGUCAGCAUGAGCAGGAGAUGGAAAAGGUUAAAGACAAGUUCAAGACGGCAGUUGCCUCCAUGCCCUUCCAAGGUGUUUCCCAGGCAGAAGUCUUAAAGGAGGAGAACAACUCCUUAAGCUGCCAGCUGGAUGCCUCCGGGAACGAGGUGGAGCUGCUCAAACAGGAACAAGGCGAGAACCAAAGAAAGAGUCACUCACAGCAGCUUAGCUUCCUGCA